UAGUCUCUCUAGAUGUUUGAACAACAUCUGUUAAAAGAGUUAAAGUCACACCCUUUAAGUAUUUUUUUUUGUUAAUUUAUAGGAAUGGUGGUAUUUGAGGAAUGGAAUUGUUAUAGUUGAUGUCUUGGAGAGUAUGCUGACUGUUCAUAAGGGAAGGAAGUAAAGAAAAAAGGGUUCUGUGCCCAUGAGUCUUUAGAGAAAUUAAAAUUAUCUAACCAUUGUUGUAUAUGUGCAUAUUAGUUAAUAUUGCUGUGCAUUCAAAGAUAAUCCCUGAAGUAUAUUAAAAGUAGAGAGAUUGGAAGAGCGU